AUUGAACGCUGGCGGCAUGCUUUACACAUGCAAGUCGAACGGCAGCGCGGGCUUCGGCCUGGCGGCGAGUGGCGAACGGGUGAGUAAUACAUCGGAACGUGCCCAGUAGUGGGGGAUAGCUCGUCGAAAGCCGGAUUAAUACCGCAUACGACCUGAGGGUGAAAGCGGGGGAUCUUCGGACCUCGCGCUAUUGGAGCGGCCGAUGGCAGAUUAGCUAGUUGGUGGGGUAAAGGCCUACCAAGGCGACGAUCUGUAGCUGGUCUGAGAGGACGACCAGCCACACUGGGACUGAGACACGGCCCAGACUCCUACGGGAGGCAGCAGUGGGGAAUUUUGGACAAUGGGCGAAAGCCUGAUCCAGCAAUGCCGCGUGUGUGAUGAAGGCCUUCGGGUUGUAAAGCACUUUUGGCGGGAACGAAAAGGACUGUGCCAAUACCACGGUUCGAUGACGGUACCCGCAGAAUAAGCACCGGCUAACUACGUG
rnacentral:rRNA from 1 species